AGAGUUUGAUCAUGGCUCAGGAUGAACGCUGGCGGCGUGCCUAACACAUGCAAGUCGAGCGAUUCUCUUCGGAGAAGAGCGGCGGACGGGUGAGUAACGCGUGGGUAACCUGCCCUGUACACACGGAUAACAUACCGAAAGGUAUGCUAAUACGAGAUAAUAUGCUUUUAUCGCAUGGUAGAAGUAUCAAAGUUUUUGCGGUACAGGAUGGACCCGCGUCUGAUUAGCUAGUUGGUAAGGUAACGGCUUACCAAGGCGACGAUCAGUAGCCGACCUGAGAGGGUGAUCGGCCACAUUGGAACUGAGACACGGUCCAAACUCCUACGGGAGGCAGCAGUGGGGAAUAUUGCACAAUGGGCGAAAGCCUGAUGCAGCAACGCCGCGUGAGCGAUGAAGGCCUUCGGGUCGUAAAGCUCUGUCCUCAAGGAAGAUAAUGACGGUACUUGAGGAGGAAGCCCCGGCUAACUACGUGCCAGCAGCCGCGGUAAUACGUAGGGGGCUAGCGUUAUCCGGAAUUACUGGGCGUAAAGGGUGCGUAGGUGGUUUCUUAAGUCAGAGGUGAAAGGCUACGGCUCAACCGUAGUAAGCCUUUGAAACUGGGAAACUUGAGUGCAGGAGAGGAGAGUGGAAUUCCUAGUGUAGCGGUGAAAUGCGUAGAUAUUAGGAGGAACACCAGUUGCGAAGGCGGCUCUCUGGACUGUAACUGACACUGAGGCACGAAAGCGUGGGGAGCAAACAGGAUUAGAUACCCUGGUAGU
rnacentral:rRNA from 1 species